CUGAAUUUAGGAUUGUACUGUAUGUGUUUACUUUAUGCAGAAGGGAGGCUGUCAUACCAAUAACACUGGUCAGAAAGGUAGCCAGAGCAUGGGAGAGAGAGAGGCCUCAAACCAACAGGUCGCCUCCUAAAUACUGUGGCAGAUUGUAGAUCAGGAACAGGUGCGUGAUCGUUGAUGACGGUCAGGUGGGAACAACAUCAGCCCAGAGAGCCAAUGCCCCGCCCUCGCAAUACAAUGAGGACAGACAAGGAGGAACAGAUGCACCAGGCAUGCAUACCAACAAACAACGAUGAAAACAACAUGCACGCUAAACAAACAGGAGAUACGGUGUUGGGGUCGUGACACAUUAAGUCUAGACCAGUUCCUCUUUGUCAGUGCGAUUUGUCCAUGUUUGGCAUAUGCUGUCACGGUCUUUGAGACUUUUCUCUUGGUAUAUUAAAUAAUUUUGCAGUUUUUGGGACCAAUGACACCUGCAAUUCAGGCACCGACCAUGUUGUUCUUUAGAACUCUGUUAGUUGCCUCAUGUUGCUUUGAAAACUCAAAUAUUAAAGUGCUAAUUGUCAGACCUCUUUUCCUAGCUAACACGUGCUGAUAAUUGCUAAUUAACCUAAUGUGACAUCUGCAGCUAUGUUUGUAAUUGUGAUUGAAUUACUUCAAAAUAACAAAUUAUCCAUGUGGUGUUUCUGUUAUUUUGUCCAACCCAUGUUACUGUAAGGGGAAUAUCCUUACUGUUGUGGUAUUCAGGCCAGUGGGCCCAGAACUGUUAAUAGAAUGUUUGCUAUAAAAAGCAGUUCGGGACUUAUGCAAAAAACAAACAUUUUGGGCUGUGUAAUGCAUAAUGCGUUUUUUUCAUGUGCAUAUGUUUGUAAUCACUAUUAUACCUUAGUUAGCCAUGAGAUUUCAUGUUCUUACUUGAGUGAUUUCGAUGACAUGAAGGGCCAUAGCUAACAUGGGGAAAGGUGGACAUGAUUCAUGGGGCAGGAGCUUUUUGUCUCAUGAAGAAAAUCCUGACCCAACCAUGUCAAAAAGAGACAUGUUCAAUAAUUGGAGCCAUGAAUGUUCGUAAAAAAGCUUGGGACUGAUUUCUAGUAUUCCCUGUUGGAGAGUUGACAGUCUGUCAAAAAUAAUUUAACUGAUUUGUAAUAAUAUUUACAUGAGGCGGGUUUAAAAUGCAUCUUCUGUGAGGAUAAUUAAAUUAUUUGUUU
ensembl:lncRNA